rnacentral:lncRNA from 1 species
AGGAGGGUGGUUGCUGGAUUCAGCAACUCCAGAGACAGUUCUCUCCCUUGCAGCUGCCCGGGAACAGGCAAAGGAGGCGUGCAAAGCUGCAGCAGAACAGGCCGUCUCCGUCCGACAGCAGGUCGCGCUAGAAAAUGCUGCAAAGAAGAGAGAGCGAGCAACAAGUGACCCAAGGACCACAGAACAGAAACAAGAGAAGAAACGACUCAAAAUUUCCAAGAAGCCAAAGGACCUGGAGCCGCCAAAAAAAGAGUUUACGCCUUAUGACUACAGCCAGUCAGACUUCAAGGCUUUUGCUGGAAACAGCAAAUCCAAAGCUGCUUCUCAGUUUGAUCCAAAUAAACAGACCCCUUCUGGCAAGAAAUGCAUUGCAGCCAAAAAAAUUAAACAGUCGGUGGGAAACAAAAGCAUGUCCUUUCCGACGGGAAAGUCAGACAGAGGCUUCAGGUACAACUGGCCACAGAGAUAAUCCUGGAAGACACGCAGCACCCGUGGACCAGAAGCACCAAAUGCCAGUGCUGCUUUUGUACAGACGUAUUUUUAAACCAUUAAAAAAUAUUCUUCCUGGAAGAAAGCUGAUUCCUG